rnacentral:rRNA from 1 species
GACGAACGCUGGCGGCGUGCUUAACACAUGCAAGUCGAACGGAAAGGCCCUGCUUUUGUGGGGUGCUCGAGUGGCGAACGGGUGAGUAACACGUGAGUAACCUGCCCUUGACUUUGGGAUAACUUCAGGAAACUGGGGCUAAUACCGGAUAGGAGCUCCUGCUGCAUGGUGGGGGUUGGAAAGUUUCGGCGGUUGGGGAUGGACUCGCGGCUUAUCAGCUUGUUGGUGGGGUAGUGGCUUACCAAGGGUUUGACGGGUAGCCGGCCUGAGAGGGUGACCGGCAACACUGGGACGGAGAUACGGCCCAGAAUCCAACGGGAGGCAGCAGGGGGGAAUAUUGCACAAUGGGCGGAAGCCUGAUGCAGCAACGCCGCGUGCGGGAUGACGGCCUUCGGGUUGUAAACCGCUUUCGCCUGUGACGAAGCGGGAGUGACGGUAAUGGGUAAAGAAGCACCGGCUAACUACGUG